UACAGAGGUCCCAAGCGUUGUUCGGAUUCACUGGGCGUAAAGGGUGCGUAGGCGGUCGGGGUAAGUUUGAUGUGAAAUCUCCGGGCUUAACCCGGAAACUGCAUUGAAUACUAUUCGGCUUGAGGUCUGGAGGGGGGACUGGAAUUCUCGGUGUAGCAGUGAAAUGCGUAGAUAUCGAGAGGAACACCAGUGGCGAAGGCGAGUCCCUGGACAGGUCCUGACGCUGAGGCACGAAAGCUAGGGGAGCAAACAGG
rnacentral:rRNA from 1 species